CCCUUCCGUCAGUCCCGGGGCUUACCCGGGUGCAGAGAGCGAGGAGCACCAAGGCGAGGCUGAUGGGACCUGCGACGGAGGCGAGCAUGAUCGGGACGCGGUAGGAGGAUGCACAGCAGGGUGCAGAGGCGACGAGAGGCGCGGCCGGAGCCUGGAUUCGGACAGGGGCGGAGAACCCUGUGCAAUAUGCACUGUGUGUGAAGACAGCAGAUCAUAGGGACCUUGGAGAUCAUUCAGCGGAAACAUGAGACCACCCCCUUCAGAGUAUACAAGGUGGAAGACAGCGCCGAUGGGGUGUGGCUUCCUGCUCUGAUAACCUCAAGGAAGCUGGAGAGCUAUGAAGAAGGGUCAAACAGGACACAACGUCUGCCCUGCUACUAUCUGCAGGAAAAGCCGGCUGCAAGGAACCUGCUCUAAACUGCCUUAGUGCUCUCUCUCUCUGUCUGUCUCUCCCUCUCUCUCCCUCUCCCUCCCCCCCUCUCUCUCUCCCCCCACAAUAUCUCUCUCCUUUUCCUUGGCCCCUCCCCUCACCCCAGUUUAUGGCAGUAUAAUAGAAAUUAUGGCCACCUUUGAGUUUCCAUCUAGAAAAAUUAGGGUUUUUUUUUCCCUUUAACUCUAGGAGUAUAUAUUUAAAAUGCAGUGUAAGUAUAUAUUUAGAAUGCAGUGCUGAGCUGUCCCUGCACUGUCUGUUGACUUCCGAGCUUUGGUCUUCCAUGUUCUCUUUUCUCCUAGCCCUGCCCCCUGCCCUUCCCCCUGGUCAUUUUUCCUUUCCUCCCUUCCUUUGAUGUUUUCUGACUCUUUUUCUUCUUCUCUUCCCCUUUCCCUUUUCUUCCCUCUAUUCCUUUUCUCCCUUCUUCAGUGUCUUUUAUACACUCUUGUCUUAGUUACCUAGAGAAAUAGCCUGUGAAGAAGAGGGAAAUAAAUGGAGGAGAUUGGGUUGAAUUCGGA
rnacentral:lncRNA from 1 species